CCGGACCGGACAAAACCAGAAAUCAACCAAAUUUGUUAUUUUUUUAUUUCUGCUAAAUAUUAAAGUUGAUCUUUUCUUUACUGUUCUCAGGCAAGUGAAGGUGGCCUUACCUGCACCUACAAUGACCUUUGCCCCAUGACACCUGACCACAGUGUCAAAGAAGUGAAUCUCCAAGGCCAGCUGGGUGCCUGUCUCUCCCCCAGUGAGGAGCCUUCUGCUAGGCAGUGUGUGGAGGAGCAGCAGUGCUACGUGGAGAGUUUGCGACAGGAGAUUCAGGCUGAACAAAGAAGGGCUGAGAGAGAGCUGGAGAGGGAGCAGGCUCACCUCCGACAGCAGCACAGUGAGAGUAAGUGAACUUUCCACACAACUUAACUUUUCAAAAUCCAAGCGAAAACUCUAGGGUCUUAUUGUAACUACGUAGAUGGAUUAGGUAUAUUGGUAAAUGUUGUGCAGGUGUAAGAGAUCCGCCACUUAUGAUUCCCUUCUGUAAAUCUUCACCCAACAGUCCAGCAGUGGAUUUUGCAGGAGAAACGGCGCCUAACAACUGUAGAGCAGAGAAUCACCCAAGAAUCCGGACUUCAGGCAGACCUUAUAUCCCGCACUCCUCCUGGAGCGAGAGGCAAGUCCGGCGUCCGACUUUCAGGAAGGUCAGACAGUAGAUCGUCUGUCCCACGUCGUAAGGGCCAGGAAGAAGGCGGUGCAGGAGGAGCUACUAAAGCAUCACGCCCUUUGCCGUUCCGAUAGCCGCAUCCGCCGGAAAAAGUUGCACUACCAGCUGGAGAGAAUCGCCCGCAAGCGGCAUCUUUUGGAAGCAAAGAGGGAGUUGCAGCGGCUGGAAAGAGCCCUGCCUCCGGGACCUGACAGCCCAGAGACCCCUGAGCUGGGGUCCCCCACAAAGCUCAGGGGAAGACCGUUUGGUUCUCGUAGACACUCCUUCUCAGCAGAUCUUCUGUCCCGGCUCUACCCACAGAACACCCCUAUCUUCAGACACUUCCUAAAGAGAAACCGAUCCAUAGAACGGACGUCAAAUUCCCCCACAACCUUUGAUUCCAUUGGCAGUAGGGAGUGGGUUUCGGAUGAGUGUCUUCCUCGGGAAAGAACCCAGAGUUGUUCCGGUAAGCUCUUCUCAGGACAAAGUCAAGCCUGCCGGAGUAGAGUUGGCUCCUCUGAAAACCUCACACUAACUGCCAAAGAGGAGCCCCAAGCUCAGCGCUGUAGGGAACGACCGGAAAGAAAACCUCUGCUUCCAAACCGAGAUCCUGACAUUUAAGAACAGAUCGGAUCAGAACUCCGUGGUUAAUCUUAAGUCGCCACUUGGAACUACUUUGCAGCCAGUCAGCAAAGAAAAUAUACACGGACGCACAGCACGCA
rnacentral:lncRNA from 1 species